rnacentral:rRNA from 1 species
UACGGAGGGUGCAAGCGUUGCUCGGAAUCAUUGGGCGUAAAGCGCACGUAGGCGGCCUGAUAAGUCGGGUGUGAAAGCCCUGGGCUCAACCCAGGAAGUGCACUCGAAACUGUCAGGCUUGAAUAUGGAAGAGGGUCGCGGAAUUCCCGGUGUAGAGGUGAAAUUCGUAGAUAUCGGGAGGAACACCAGUGGCGAAGGCGGCGACCUGGGCCAAUAUUGACGCUGAGGUGCGAAAGCGUGGGGAGCAAACAGG